UUUCCCUCCCCCUCUCUCCAGCCUCAGUGGCUGAUUUUAUUCUCACUGUACACUUUACUAUUGCUUGCAAUGUGACACUAAAAUAUAUACUCUCUCUCACACACACACACCACAUACACACACACACACACACUCAUGCACGCACACAGACACACACAUUCACACAUACCUACACACACACAUACACACACAGCACUGGGGUAUCCAAAGUGGAAUACUAAAGGAGAUACAUAUAUAACAAAAAGCAACAAGAAGGGAAACCAAUCUUGCCAAACAAGGAACUAUUUUUUUAUAACUCUUAUUUCUUCUGAAACAUGUUUGGGUCUACCAUGGCACUGGAUUUUGUAGUGGUUUUCUGCUUGGCAUCUGCAAUUGCAGCAGUGGAAGAAACCUUGAUGGAUACCCGGACGGCUACAGCUGAGCUGGGCUGGACUGCAAACCCUCCUUCAGGGUGGGAAGAAGUCAGCGGCUAUGAUGAGAACCUGAACACCAUCCGCACUUACCAGGUGUGCAAUGUCUUCGAACCCAAUCAGAACAACUGGCUCCUCACCACGUUCAUAAACAGACGGGGCGCUCACCGCAUCUACACCGAGAUGCGCUUCACUGUGCGGGACUGCAGCAGCCUCCCCAAUGUCCCUGGCUCCUGCAAGGAAACCUUCAACCUGUACUACUACGAGACGGACUCUAUCAUUGCCACCAAGAAGUCGGCCUUCUGGACGGAGGCGCCCUACCUCAAAGUGGACACAAUUGCUGCUGAUGAGAGCUUCUCUCAGGUAGACUUUGGGGGCCGGUUGAUGAAGGUGAACACCGAGGUGAGGAGCUUCGGACCACUCACCCGCAAUGGUUUUUACCUCGCCUUCCAGGACUAUGGGGCUUGCAUGUCACUGCUCUCGGUCAGGGUUUUCUUCAAGAAGUGCCCAAGCGUGGUGCAGAACUUUGCCAUCUUCCCAGAGACCAUGACUGGGGCAGAGAGCACCUCUCUGGUGAUUGCACGUGGCACCUGCAUUCCCAAUGCCGAGGAGGUGGAUGUGCCCAUUAAGCUGUACUGCAAUGGUGAUGGGGAGUGGAUGGUUCCCAUUGGCCGCUGCACUUGCAAGGCCGGCUACGAGGCUGAGAACAAUGUGGUCUGCAAAGCUUGUCCAGCAGGGAUGUUUAAGGCCACGCAGGGUGUGGGGAGCUGUGCCCAGUGUCCCACCAACAGUCGCUCCACGUCGGAGGCUUCUCCCAUCUGCACCUGCCGCAAUGGCUACUAUCGUGCUGAUUUUGACCCACCAGAGGCAGCCUGCACCAGUGUCCCAUCAGGGCCCCGCAACGUUAUCUCCAUUGUCAAUGAGACGUCCAUUAUCCUAGAGUGGCACCCACCCCGGGAGACAGGCGGGCGUGAUGACGUGACCUACGACAUCGUCUGUAAGAAGUGCCGGCCUGACCGCCGCAGUUGCUCCCGCUGCGAUGACAACGUGGAGUUUGUACCCAGGCAGCUGGGCCUGACGGAGACCCGGGUCUUCAUCAGCAGCCUCUGGGCCCACACGCCGUACACCUUCGAGAUCCAGGCUGUUAAUGGCAUCUCUAGCAAGAGCCCCUUCCCCCCGCAGCAUGUGUCGGUGAACAUCACCACAAACCAAGCUGCUCCCUCCACAGUUCCCAUCAUGCACCAGGUAAGUGCCACCAUGAGGAGCAUCACGCUGUCGUGGCCUCAGCCAGAGCAGCCCAACGGCAUCAUCCUGGACUACGAGAUCCGUUACUAUGAGAAGGUGAGCCGGAUCUGCCACCCCGAGAUCAGCAGCACUGUGGGCUCACGACCAGCCACCGACCACAAUGAGUACAAUUCGUCCAUGGCCAAGAGUCAGACCAACACAGCCAGGAUUGAGGGGCUGAGGCCUGGCAUGGUGUAUGUGGUACAGGUGCGAGCCCGGACAGUGGCUGGCUAUGGGAAAUACAGCGGGAAAAUGUGCUUCCAAACACUGACAGAUGAUGACUACAAGUCGGAGCUGAGGGAGCAGUUGCCUUUGAUCGCAGGGUCUGCAGCGGCUGGUGUGGUCUUCAUUGUCUCGCUGGUGGCUAUUUCAAUCGUCUGCAGCAGGAAGCGGGCUUACAGCAAAGAGGCCGUGUACAGUGAUAAAUUACAGCACUACAGCACUGGCCGAGGCUCUCCAGGGAUGAAGAUCUACAUUGACCCCUUCACUUAUGAGGACCCCAACGAGGCUGUCCGCGAGUUUGCCAAGGAGAUUGACGUCUCCUUCGUGAAGAUUGAAGAAGUCAUUGGAGCAGGGGAGUUUGGAGAAGUGUAUAAAGGACGUCUGAAGCUGCCCAGCAAGAGGGAAAUCUAUGUGGCCAUUAAGACAUUAAAGGCUGGCUACUCUGAGAAGCAGCGUAGGGAUUUCCUGAGUGAGGCCAGCAUCAUGGGACAGUUUGACCACCCAAAUAUCAUUCGGCUGGAAGGAGUGGUGACCAAAAGCCGGCCAGUCAUGAUCAUCACAGAGUUUAUGGAGAAUGGAGCUCUGGACUCCUUUCUGAGGCAAAACGACGGGCAGUUCACAGUCAUCCAGCUGGUGGGGAUGCUCAGGGGAAUUGCUGCGGGAAUGAAGUACCUUGCGGAGAUGAACUACGUGCACCGGGACCUUGCCGCCAGAAACAUCCUGGUCAAUAGUAACUUGGUGUGCAAAGUGUCUGACUUUGGCCUCUCACGCUACCUGCAAGAUGAUACCUCUGACCCAACCUAUACUAGCUCCUUGGGUGGGAAGAUCCCGGUGAGGUGGACAGCCCCCGAGGCCAUCGCCUACCGCAAGUUCACCUCCGCUAGUGAUGUCUGGAGUUACGGCAUUGUCAUGUGGGAAGUGAUGUCCUUUGGAGAGAGGCCGUAUUGGGACAUGUCCAACCAAGAUGUAAUCAAUGCAAUUGAGCAAGAUUACCGUCUUCCCCCUCCUAUGGACUGCCCAGCUGCACUGCACCAGCUCAUGCUAGACUGCUGGCAGAAAGACCGCAACACCCGCCCUCGCUUCACCGAGAUAGUCAACACCCUAGAUAAAAUGAUCCGUAACCCGGCAAGCCUCAAAACUGUGGCUACCAUCACCGCUGUGCCUUCUCAGCCACUGUUAGACCCCUCCAUCCCAGAUUUCACUGCCUUUACCUCAGUAGAAGAUUGGUUAAGCGCCAUUAAAAUGAGCCAGUACAGAGACAACUUCCUGACUGCUGGCUUCACCUCCCUCCAGCUUGUUGCCCAGAUGACCUCAGAAGAUCUCCUGAGAAUAGGGGUGACUUUGGCCGGACACCAGAAGAAGAUUCUGAACAGUGUCCAGUCUAUGAGAGUACAGAUGAGUCAGUCUCCAACCUCGAUGGCAUGACGUCUCUCAUUUUAUGGGGAUGGGAAACAGAGGGGAAGCAAUGAAGGGUCAGAGGUGGGACGGGAGGAACAGACUGACAAAGCAGUGAAAAAUGUGGAAGGGUUGAAUUAUCGUCUGAGAACUGUAGCAGCUGCAGACAAAGAACACAUGGGACUCGUUUCUAACCGGCAGCUUCCGUUUCUCGCUAACAGAAGCACACUUACCAAUGCCAGGGGAAACAGCAUAUAAAUAAAUAUAAAUAUGUACAAAUCAUAUAUUUAAAAGACAAUGAAGACAAACCAAUGUGUGUUGGGAAAAAAAUAGACUCCAAUCCCACCACCAGUGAGCAGUAGUCAAAACUGAUAAGAAACAAGGGGCCAGUGGGGUGGGGAGAGGUGCAAGAAUUGAGUUCCCAACCCAGAGAAACCAUCUUCACAACAACAUUCCUUUUCUUUUCUUCUUUUGCUCCCCUCCCUGACCCUCUCUUCCACACCCCAUUCCCUUUCUACUCAUGAUCUAUGUGGAAGUGUCUUCAAAAGUCUCCACAGCUACCUACUGUAAUAUCAAGAUGUUGUUCUGUCAAGUACCAAAGGACUUCACUGACCACUGCAUGGGGGAUCCAAAUAAAUCCAGUUAAUGUCUUCAUAUUGAAGAAGAGAUGUACCUUCAAUAGAAAACCUUGUUUUUCUUUUGCUUGCAUUUUUUUGCAAAAAGGAAACAAAAACAUAAUGGAAAAAGAAAAAGGUGUUCCCAUGUGCGUGCACGCACAUUUGUAUGUGUACUUUGUCAACUUACUGUGGAUUCACUGCUUCUCCAUAACAGAGAAAACAAACCAACCCAAGUGGAAUGGACGGUACAUUCAUAACCUCCAGUGGAACUGGGGGGUGUGGGGGAAGGGACCAGUGACUGGCUUUGCUUUCUGUCUGGAUCAAUUGCACCUGGAAUGUUUAAUGAGAAAUAAGAGAAAAAUAAAGCAAGCCCAACUCUCAAUGUUUUGCAAACUUGGAGGAAGAAUCAAAGGAACAGUCAGGUUGGAUACUGCACAGGUUUCAUAUGGGAUUAUUAUGAGAUGCACAGUGUUUGUUACGGGAUUGUUGACUGCAGAGGCAACAAGAAAAGAAGACGGAGAGAGACACUCUGGAAAAUAGACUGGUUAGUCCUCUAGCAUCUCUGUGAUCUGCAAAAGAUGGCUAUGGAGAACUUUUUUUUUUCCAUCGUGUGGACCUAAGGAUUUUGCUAUUAAGUUACUGACUUAGGUUUCAUGGCUUCAGAGGAAAAAAAGCAGAAACAGCUGUGUUUGCUCUCUACCUUCAAAAUUUCUGGAAAUUGUACAGCUCUACUCUCUUCCACAUACUGCAUAGAUGCACUUAUACAGCCGAACACCACUGGAGCUGAUCUUCAGUCUGGGUGUAAUAUUGGAGGUGGAGUAAAGGUAGUUCUAUCACUGGACAAAUAUUCUAAGCAAAAGUCAUUCUGCCUGGUGGCCUGUACCUCUCCUCUGUGCUCUUUCAUGGGCACCAGAUGUCUUCUUUCUCCAUGUUGCAGUUUCAGAUGGGCCAUCUCCUGUGACCACUGCACCCCCAAUCCCUGGAAAGGUUUUCUAUGGGGCAUGAGGUUGGCUGCCCAGCAUCCUGAAACAGUGAGACAAGUACAUUCCUGUUCACACCAGCACGCUGGGUGAUGGGAUCUAGAGACACUUCCGAAGUAUUUGCACUAUCAUUAGGACACCUGGCCUUCUGGUUUGUCCCUUUCCUCCAGAGCUGAAUGCAUGAGUAGUGGGAGUUAUCUUUAUUUACUACCCUAUUCUUGCAAGAUGGGACUUAGCUUCCAAUAGCUAAGAACACCUCUUCCUGGAUUGGGAGGGCUGUGGCUGCUCAGAGUUGUGAGAUGGGAGAGCUGACAUCUAUCACUUCCUAAAGAGUUGUGGAGAGGGAAGAACCGGAUACCCAACGUGCAAGGGCAAAGACAAAGGAAUUAUAGGCCUCCAAGCAGAUUUCAGUGGAAAGUGGACCCUGGCACCUGGAUAUUCUUUACAUCGGCAGUUUUCGCUUUAGUUAGGAAAGUGUCACAAAGCUCAAAUGAAGAAUAGAUACUAACAAAUGCAAAAAUUAUCUUGUUUCAACUUGUAGAGUUUCCCCCAGAGAAACAGGCAAAGAAAAACUCCCCUUGUCUGACAGCAGAAGGGACUGUUCCAAGGCCUGUCUGAUAGACAAGCAUUAAUACCGUUUGGAAUAUUCACCACCAAAAUCUGUAUUCAAGCAUGUUGUCACACCAAAUACAACAUGCAUAUGAAACAUGCAUUCUGCAUACUAAUACACUGUGUCACUACAUUUCUAUUCACAAUUGGUAAGGGAUCCUUUGUGUUUUUAUUAUUUCUCUUUUAUUAGAAGAAAACUAAAGGUAUAAAGCAGCAUGACAGUGAAACUGACUAAAUAAAAAAAACUACAUUUAUGACUACCUUGCUGCUGCUUAUUAUGCAGGGUGGGAAUGCUCCUGAUAGGAAGUUGUCCCUCUAGCCUUGCUUUGCCUAGUUUCUAUGGUUUAUAUGUAGUGCAGGAACAGAACUGAGUUACAACCCUUCUUAAUGUGAAAUCAAUGGGUCCAAUUCUGCCCAUUGAAGUCCAUGGGCUCUGUACCCAUCUGGCUGAGAAUAAAAUUGACCCUUCUGCUUCCAAAGUAAUUUAGUUGUUCUAGGAUGCCAUGCUGUUUAACUCUACCUGAUUAUUUCCUGUGACAAAUUACCUUUGUUCCCUUCCCCACCUCUCAUAUUCGUUGUCACUGCAGGCAAAACCUGUGUUACUGGUCUUGACCACUUACUGAGCACUGGCAGUGUGCUAGAAACUAUAAAAACAUAAAGGAGAACAAGGAUCAAGCUCUUCCAAAAUAUCUCCUAACUGAGACUCCUAAAUUCACCUACAUAAAUGUAAGAGAUUUUCCAAAGUGCUGUGCACCUAGCGGCUUGCACUGGUACCAUAGAUUCACAGAUGUAAAGAUUGGUUAGCCAUGUAUCUUUCCCAGGGUCCAUUAACCAUCAUCCUAUUG